rnacentral:rRNA from 1 species
UACGGAGGGUGCAAGCGUUAUCCGGAUUUACUGGGUUUAAAGGGUGCGUAGGUGGGCAGGUAAGUCAGUGGUGAAAUCUCCGGGCUUAACCCGGAAACUGCCAUUGAUACUAUCUGUCUUGAAUAUCCUGGAGGUGAGCGGAAUAUGUCAUGUAGCGGUGAAAUGCUUAGAUAUGACAUAGAACACCAAUUGCGAAGGCAGCUCACUACGGGAUUAUUGACACUGAGGCACGAAAGCGUGGGGAGCAAACAGG